GGGAAUAGGUGAGAAAGGUUGUUUGUUCUUGCUUUUGUUGUGUGAGGUGGGAUGUUCUGUGUGAAAGAGCAGGGGACGGUAAUGCUUAAGGGCCAGCUAUUAUGAUGUGUUCCAUGUUAAAUGUAUGUGUUGUAAUGUAUGUUGUUAGUACAUGAAACUCCAACUGGUUUCCCCUUGUCGUUGGGCUGUCCCAAUUAGUUUAAUGGGAAGCCGUAUAUAAGGGCAGGGGAUUAGAGUAAAAAGGGUGGUUGGUGGUCUUUCUUUUGGUCUAAUUGUUGUUUGUUUUUUAUUUAUUUAUUUAUUUUUGUUGUUUUUGUCAUGCUGUGGCCUGUGUGGAUUAUGGGCAUGUCAAGGCCAAGAGAGAGGGGUAACAGCUUGAGGUGAGGCUGGAAAGGCCCCAUGAAAUAAAGCUACCUUUGUUCUGAGGCCUACUGCGUUUGUGCCUGGUUUCUCCCCACUCGCAUGCGGGGUUGUUUGCAUUCCCUCAACUCAAUAAGGCAGGGCCUGUCCAGCUCUUGCCUUUUUCACAUUCAGUAUCUACAUGUAAAGGGAGCAGACACAGGAAAAAGGUAUUGAAGACCCUUGAUAUGAUAUUGCUGUUUUUGUUUUAGAUUCCAAAGUUAACCCUUUAAUUUAUCCCUUUUCCCCAAGUAGAACGCUGCAUUUACUUUACAUUUUGCUUUGGAGUCGGAAGUUCCAAAAUCACCAGGAGAGCUCCUCAGGCAUCUCCUGCCUGUAAUUCCUGGGAAAUGCCACCUGCCACCCAUCCUUGGAAGCGUCGCCCAUUCUCAGGAUCUCAUGCGUCACCAUUCAUCACAGUCACAGCGCUUGCAGACAUCUGGAUAAAAGGAAAAGCCCAUUUUUUUAAAACUUACACGUUAAAUUUUCCUCUAAUUACCAUUUUAUUCUUUUAAAUUUCAUUAUGUUUAAUUACAUUUAGUAUGGAUUAAGGCACAGCCAGCCUGGAUUAAGGCAUCACCAGCCUGGCAUCAGACUCUCCGGACAAUGCCAGCCCAGAGGGGGCUGACCUGGAGGACAUUCCCCCGGAGGACAUGGAGUGGGAGCCUCCAGGUCUUGACCUGAGUCCCACUCCGUGGUGUCAGCCCCGUGGCCAAAGUUUCCCCAGCCGAGGAGGCUAUCGCCGCGACAACGGCAGGGUCAACAGAAAUCCAGUCGUGGGCUCAGCUCCGGGAGGAAAAAACGAGGGUCCCUGGUUUGGUCCAGUUCCUGUCCUGCCUGCCCCUCGACACCCUCCGACUCUGCCAACCCCUCGCCGUCUACCGAUGCUGUUCUUCCCUCGGCUGCCGCAGACGAGUAGAGCUUCUACAGACCCAGACAGGAUUCCAAAGGCCCCCCUGGCCGUGACCCUUCUGCGGCACCCCGGAGCCCAUCAGAGGCCCUGAACUGUUCACUUUACCUCCCAUGCUACCUAGUGUCUUGCCCCUCCUAAUACCUCAGUCUUUGGUCUGUAGUCUUGCUUCCCCGUGGCUCUCCCUGGUUUCACCUCUUAGCCUGAUUUCACUGUUCCAGCCCCCACUCCAGUCACUCUUGCUUCCCGCUUUAGGUUCCCCUCUCCUGGCCAUAUUAUUGUUGCACUGGUUCCGUUGCUUGCCUGUCUUGUCUGGUUGUGUCCUGCCUUGUCUGUCCCUGUGUCGUCUUUGGUCCUUUUGAUGCCCAAUCCCUCCCUUUUGUCUCCUUCUACUGUGUCCUUUGUUCCCACUUACCCACUGACACCCACUGUCUGUCUUUUGGUCCAUAGUCAGCAUCCCUGUUGGAUUACCUGGCCUGUCAUGAUUUGUGUCCUGGGGGUUAGUCUCCCCUGUUGUCCUUGGUUUUGCCCUGGUCUGUGUGUCCCCUCAAUGAUGCCCUUGUACCCGGAGGGCACAGGAUUGGGAGGGGGGCGUUUACUGUCAUAUCUUGCCCAUUUAAUCAACCUUACCCUCCAGUUCUCCUCCCUGAUGAGCCACGCUUGGUGUCUAUUAGUCUCACCCCAUGUUCCUCCCCUUCUGUCAGUCACUAUCAGCUUCCUUGUGUUUUCCCAUUCCUUAGUCUGGUAAAGUGCCC